rnacentral:rRNA from 1 species
GACGAACGCUGGCGGCGUGCUUAACACAUGCAAGUCGAACGGAAAGGCCCUGCUUUUGUGGGGUGCUCGAGUGGCGAACGGGUGAGUAACACGUGAGUAACCUGCCCUUGACUUUGGGAUAACUUCAGGAAACUGGGGCUAAUACCGGAUAGGAGCUCCUGCUGCAUGGUGGGGGUUGGAAAGUUUCGGCGGUUGGGGAUGGACUCGCGGCUUAUCAGCUUGUUGGUGGGGUAGUGGCUUACCAAGGCUUUGACGGGUAGCCGGCCUGAGAGGGUGACCGGCCACAUUGGGACUGAGAUACGGCCCAGACUCCUACGGGAGGCAGCAGUGGGGAAUAUUGCACAAUGGGCGGAAGCCUGAUGCAGCAACGCCGCGUGCGGGAUGACGGCCUUCGGGCUGUAAACCGCUUUCGCCUGUGACGAAGCGUGAGUGACGGUAAUGGGUAAAGAAGCAUCGGCUAACUACGUG